UACAGAGGUCUCAAGCGUUGUUCGGAUUCAUUGGGCGUAAAGGGUGUGUAGGUGGCGCCGUAAGUCGGGUGUGAAAUUUCGGAGCUUAACUCCGAAACUGCAUUCGAUACUGCGGUGCUUGAGGACUGGAGAGGAGACUGGAAUUCCUGGUGUAGCGGUGAAAUGCGCAGAUAUCAGGAGGAACACCGGCGGCGAAGGCGGGUCUCUGGGCCGAUACUGACGCUGAGGAGCGAAAGCGUGGGGAGCGAACAGG
rnacentral:rRNA from 1 species